rnacentral:rRNA from 1 species
UACGUAGGGGGCUAGCGUUGUCCGGAAUCAUUGGGCGUAAAGAGCGUGUAGGCGGCUUGGUAAGUCCGCUGUGAAAGUCCAGGGCUCAACCCUGGAAAGCCAGUGGAAACUGUCAAGCUAGAGUCCGGAAGAGGCGAGUGGAACUCCUGGUGUAGCGGUGAAAUGCGCAGAUAUCAGGAAGAACACCAAUGGCGAAGCAGCUCGCUGGACGUAGCUGACGCUGAGACGCGAAAGCGUGGGAGCGAACAG